GGCUGAAAGCAUCUAAGCGGGAAGCCUACCUCAAGAUAAGAUUUCCCUAGGACUUUAUGUCCUCUAAAGAGCCGUUCGAGACUAGGACGUUGAUAGGUUGGAUGUGGAAGCAUAGUGAUAUGUGAAGCUGACCAAUACUAAUUGCUCGUGAGGCUUGACUAU
rnacentral:rRNA from 1 species